CGUUGGCGUGCCCGGCGGACAGCAAGCGCGCAUUGGCGGUGCCCGCGACCGUGUAGCCGGCGUUCGACACGCUGUUGACGA
rnacentral:tRNA from 1 species